CAGAAAUAGGAGUUGAGCAACUUGAUCAGUUGGCCAUCAUUGCUAAUUUCUCUCAGGCUCUACUCUUGGUAUCAGCAAUAUAACGACAACCACACAACUGGCUCCUGACAUGCAGAUCAAAUGGACAAGGCUGAUGAGGCUUGAUGAAGAGGGAAGAUUAAUUCAUUGUACACACAGUCUGGUACCAAGAACAGGUAAGGAUUUGCUGUUAGAUGCACUCUAAUCAAUUUCCAUGUUUUUUAAUUUUGAGCAUAUCAGAGC
rnacentral:lncRNA from 1 species